rnacentral:lncRNA from 1 species
AUGCCCCCCCCCCCCACACACACACACACAUCCUCCACACACUUCCUACUCCGUAACACAUAACGCACCGGUUGAUGAAGAACCGCAACCCACUCGCAGAACCUCACCCUCACACACUCUCUACUCUCAAACGAAUAUGUACGCGCAACCGGAGUAUCGCCGGAGUUCCUCAACAUCACCGGAGUCCGAAGGAGUCAUCGGAGGAUCGCGACGGAACUCUCGCUUAAUCGUUUCGGAUCACUCGUGACCAAGUCUCUCAAAUCCCAUUUUGCGCGCAUAAGUUUACAAGGAAUCGCUAACGCAAACACUGUGAAAAGGUACGAAGAGAAGAUUGGACAUAGGAUGUGCCUUAGUUAACAAGAAACGGAUUAGUGUAGUUUAUUUAUGUCUCGCGUUUGUAAUUGUUUAUUUGAAUAAAUUGUUUUGUGAAACAUUUGUUAUGAAUAAAUUAUUAUUUAAAAC